UGCACAUGACGUGAUACUUUUUGUUCGUUACCUACGUUUUAUUCUAAAUUGUAUAUUUUCAAUAAUAUAUUGUGAUAUGUCGAACAAAAAUGGCAAUGAUAAUAUGGCAACGAAUUUUAGUUUCUUCGAAAAAAAAAUAUUAUUAAAAUAUUUGAAUUCAAAGAAUCAAAUGCGUUAUCCUAGAAGGAGAAAAAUAAGUGUUGGUUGAUCAUUGCUGAAUUAUAUAAUUCUACAACAACAAGCUGUGUAUGAAGUUUUUUUUCUGUAUGUAUAAAAUAUAAUUGUACUAUUUUUAUUAUAGCCAAGAGAUUCUACAAGUUUGCGUUCAAAGUAUGAAUCUGUAAAAAACAGUUACGGACAUUAAAAGUGAUUUGUUUAAAACGGGUGAUUCCUAUAGAGUUCUUUACCAAGUGUCCAGUGAUUCAGAGAAAGCUUUAUACUAAAUAUUGCAACUGUCAAUUGAAAGACUACCUUGUAAAUAUGAUAACGAUAGUAAGUAGUUUUCUAUAAACAUUUAAUAUUUUUUAUUAAUUAAACUAUUCUUAUUUUGUAUAAACUUUAUUAAGUUAAAUUUAAUUCGUUACAAUUAUCUGAAUAGAUACUUUAUGACAAAACACCUCAUAUAAUAAAUAUAUCAGUAUAUUUUUAGUUCAUUACCAAGAAUAAGGUUGCCAUACGUCUCGGAAAACCAAGACUGUCACUGGUUUUUGACUUGUUGUACUGGUGUCCUGAAAAUAAAUGUCGGUACGCCAUUGUCCUGGUUUUGAGGAAAAAUUAAUAGUAUUUAAUUUCGAUAUUUUCUUAGAAUAAUAACUUUAAUCGAGAAAUAAUGAUAAGAUUUUUGACGAAUAUGGGACAAAACAAUGAUGAUAAAACCACAGAUAUAAUUCUUUUAUAUAUUGGUGGAUAAAACCUUAGUGGUAGCUAGUAUCCAAAUUAGUUAUUACUUGAAUUU